AUGUCUUCCUCCUCCGCCACCUUCCACUCAAGCCUAAACGGCCAGGUCACGGAGAAGCUCUCCCGCACAAAUUAUGUGCUAUGGCGGACACAGAUCACGCCCCAGCUGAGAGGGGCCGGUCUCUUUGGCUAUGCGGACGGCACCAUGCCGAAACCAACUAGCCUUCUCGUCACCAAGGACAAGGACGGGACGGAGACUUCUGAGCCCAACCCUCUCCACCCCAUCUGGGUCAAGGAGGACCAACAGGUGCUCGGCUUCCUGCUAAGCAACCUCUCAAAAGAGGUGCUCGUCACGGUGACCGCGAUC
rnacentral:rRNA from 1 species